rnacentral:lncRNA from 1 species
AGGAAAACAACCAUAAUGGUGAAGGGGUCUUGAGUUUAGGUUGAGGACUGGUUAAAUAAACUAGACAUGUUUAUUCUGAAGAAGAGAAGCUUCAGGAUUAGUCCUGAUAGCUAUCUUCCUGUAUUUGAAGCUCCUUUUUAGGUUUUUUUUUUUUGGUUUUGGAUUCUCUUUAUUGGUGGAGAUUAAUUGCCUGCACCCAUGAGAAGGGAGGAGCAGAGUUGGUAAUCAUUGAGAGAGGAGAGAUCACUUCAGAUCCACCACGUAAGGUCCAAGGUACUGCCAGCAGCUGGCUUGGAGGAAGAAAGGGGGAAGGGGUUGGAGGAGUGAUGGUGGAUUUGGUUAGGCAUCCUCAGCCUCCUCUGAUUUGGUCUCCCGGCAGAUUAGCAUGUCAGCUCAGCUCAGCUACUCUAAUCUAGUAUACCAGUAGAGGAGAAAGAAGACCGAAGAUUCCCUCCAGGGCAGAGCAGCUUGAAAAUGCCAAGAAAGAAAGUGAUAUCGGCAAGGUGAUUGUGUCUCAUCCAAAGAAUGGAUUGACAGUUCAAAUUACUCCUUUGCAAGGAAACAAGCUUUAUUAUAAGAAAAUAUAGUAACCGUAACUAAUAUAGUAAGCUAAGGUAGGUAAAUAGAGGUAAAGGUGGUAAGCAAAGUUAAAUGUGAUAAGCAAAGUAGAUAGAGGUUUUCAGGAUUGCUUUUUAUAUUGAUUAGCUACUAAGGAGGG